rnacentral:rRNA from 1 species
CACAUGCAAGUCGAACGGAGUGGUUCUCCCGAGGAUUGACGGUGCUGCACCUGAUUGACUCAUUGAAUCACUUAGUGGCGGACGGGUGAGUAACGCGUGGGUAACCUGCCCUAUACUGGGGGAUAGCAGUUGGAAACGACUGAUAAUACCGCAUAAGCGCACAGGACCGCAUGGUCUAGUGUGAAAAAACUCCGGUGGUAUAGGAUGGACCCGCGUCUGAUUAGCUAGUUGGCGAGGUAACGGCCCACCAAGGCGACGAUCAGUAGCCGGCCUGAGAGGGUGUACGGCCACAUUGGGACUGAGACACGGCCCAAGCUCCUACGGGAGGCAGCAGUGGGGAAUAUUGGACAAUGGGGGAAACCCUGAUCCAGCGAACCGCCGCGUGAGCGAUGAAGUAUUUCGGUAUGUAAAGCUCUAUCAGCAGGGAAGAUAAUGACGGUACCUGACUAAGAAGCACCGGCUAAAUACGUGCCAGCAGCGGC